rnacentral:rRNA from 1 species
AGAGUUUGAUCCUGGCUCAGGACGAACGCUGGCGGCGUGCUUAACACAUGCAAGUCGAACGAAGAGCGAUGGAAGCUUGCUUCUAUCAAUCUUAGUGGCGAACGGGUGAGUAACGCGUAAUCAACCUGCCCUUCAGAGGGGGACAACAGUUGGAAACGACUGCUAAUACCGCAUACGAUCCAGUCUCGGCAUCGAGACUGGAUGAAAGGUGGCCUCUAUUUAUAAGCUAUCACUGAAGGAGGGGAUUGCGUCUGAUUAGCUAGUUGGAGGGGUAACGGCCCACCAAGGCGAUGAUCAGUAGCCGGUCUGAGAGGAUGAACGGCCACAUUGGGACUGAGACACGGCCCAGACUCCUACGGGAGGCAGCAGUGGGGAAUCUUCCGCAAUGGACGAAAGUCUGACGGAGCAACGCCGCGUGAGUGAUGACGGCCUUCGGGUUGUAAAGCUCUGUUAAUCGGGACGAAUGGUUCUUGUGCAAAUAGUGCGAGGAUUUGACGGUACCGGAAUAGAAAGCCACGGCUAACUACGUGCCAGCAGCCGCGGUAAUACGUAGGUGGCAAGCGUUGUCCGGAAUUAUUGGGCGUAAAGCGCGC